AUGGCUGUCGUCAGCUCGUGUCGUGAGAUGUUGGGUUAAGUCCCGCAACGAGCGCAACCCCUACCGUGUGUUGUAUCACUCACACGGGACUGCCGAGAGAAACUCGGAGGAAGGUGGGGAUGACGUCAAGUCAGCAUGGCCCUUACGUCCUGGGCUACACCCACGCUACAAUGGCCGGUACAACGGGCUGCGAAACCGCGAGGUGGAGCGAAUCCCUUAAAGCCGGUCUCAGUUCGGAUUGUAGGCUGCAACUCGCCUACAUGAAGCCGGAGUUGCUAGUAACCGCCGGUCAGCAUACGGCGGUGAAUAUGUUCCCGGGCCUUGUACACACCGCCCGUCACGUCAUGAAAGCUGGCAACACCCGAAGCCGGUGCGCCAACCGCAAGGAGGCAGCCGUCGAAGGUGGGGUCGGUGAUUGGGACGAAGUCGUAACAAGGUAGCCCUAUCGGAAGGUGGGGCUGGAUCACCUCCUUUAAAGGAAACACUACUCACAGUGUCCUUUAGGUUGAGACAAGCUCUAUGAGCCCACUUCACUUCUCUUCUGCUGUUAAGGCAGAAAUGUCUAGCUUAUACGUUAGAUAAGUUAUCUUGAAAGUCGAAUAGAGUCAGAUAAGAAAAAUCUCAAAAAUAUAAAGCGACCAAAAUAAAAAGUGGUAAGUUCAGUAGGUAACACUACUGGAUAAUUAUAUUUUCACUGAUGAAAAUUGGCGCUUGAGAACGAAAAGGGAUAGUCGAUGUUUAGGUACAUCGGCUAUCCUCAGUAAAAAUGUUUUAAGAACAUUGGCGAAUUUGUAAUGCUCAAUAAUUAGCAGCUAAAAAGUGUUUGUGAUCAAGCUGUUAAGGGCUGUUGGUGGAUGCCUUGGUAUCGAUAGGCGAUGAAGGACGCGUAAACCUGCGAAAAGCUUCGGAGAGCCGGAAAAGGCUGUGACCCGGAGAUAUCCGAAUGGGGAAACCCGG
rnacentral:sRNA from 1 species